UCCCGUAAACGGCGUAAAGAGUGGUACUAUGAUAUCACAACAACUAAGACCAAAGCGCAAUUAAGCUGUUAUAAGCUCAAGAUGUGUCUAAGACCCCCCUCAAAAUGAUCUUAGCGCUUCUGAUUUAUUUAAGCCCACGAAAGCUAAGACACAAACUGGGAUUAGAUACCCCACUAUGCUUAGCCCUAAAUCUCGAUGCCUUCCCACUACUAAAGCAUCCGCCCGAGAACUACGAGCACAAACGCUUAAAACUCUAAGGACUUGGCGGUGCCCCAAACCCACCUAGAGGAGCCUGUUCUAUAAUCGAUAACCCACGUUACACCCGACCGCUCCUUGCUAAAGGCAGCCUACAUACCGCCGUCGCCAGCUCACCUCAUCUGAGAGGUCAAUAGUGAGCACAAUAGCCCAAACCCGCUAACAAGACAGGUCGAGGUAUAGCCCACGGGGUGGAAGAAAUGGGCU
rnacentral:rRNA from 1 species